CCUACGGGUGGCGGCAGUGGGGAAUAUUGGACAAUGGGGGGAACCCUGAUCCAGCCAUGCCGCGUGUGUGAAGAAGGCCCUCGGGUUGUAAAGCACUUUCAGUGAGGAAGAACGCCUGGUGGUUAAUACCCAUCAGGAAAGACAUCACUCACAGAAGAAGCACCGGCUAACUCCGUGCCAGCAGCCGCGGUAAUACGGAGGGUGCGAGCGUUAAUCGGAAUUACUGGGCGUAAAGCGCGCGUAGGUGGCUUGAUAAGCCGGUUGUGAAAGCCCCGGGCUCAACCUGGGAACGGCAUCCGGAACUGUCAAGCUAGAGUGCAGGAGAGGAAGGUAGAAUUCCCGGUGUAGCGGUGAAAUGCGUAGAGAUCGGGAGGAAUACCAGUGGCGAAGGCGGCCUUCUGGACUGACACUGACACUGAGGUGCGAAAGCGUGGGUAGCAAACAGGAUUAGAUACCCUUGUAGUC
rnacentral:rRNA from 1 species